GAACAUUAUCCAGGAUAGAACAUGACCUGGGUCACAAAUCAGGUCUCAACCAGUACCAAAGGCUUGGGAUCAUUCCCUGCAUAUUUUCAGACCACAAUGUUCUGAAGGUAGAACUCACUCAUAAGAGGAAAGUUGGAAAGAACUCAAAUAUAGGGAGGCUAAAGAACAUCUUACUAAAGAAUGAAGGGGUCACAUUUUGAACCUCAGGAUACACCCAGACUGGAAGUGAAGAGACGGAGAAGCAUCUUUCAUGCCAAAGGGCCUCAAAAGAAGGCCAGACCUUGGCAAUUGCAGUCCAAUGGGGAGACAAGACAGAAACAAGUUAAAGACUAAUAGCGCAUCUUAUGCGCUUUGGGAUAUGGUCAUGUGGGAUCACAUGGAAGCAGAGAGGAGAGCCACCUAAUCCAACAGGAGCAUUAAGUGGAAUGAUUUCCUCAAACACAGAAUUCCCACGCAGGACAAGGUAUACUGCAUGUAUGACCUCAUAUAAUCCUCCCAAGAGCCCCAUGAGAAAGGCAAUAUUAUUUUUAUUUUACUACUGAGAAAACAUAAGCCCAGAAAUUGCCACAGCCACCUCAGCCUUCAUCAACCACCCCCCGUAUCAGCCAGCAGCCAUCAACAUCAAAGACCCUCCACCAGCAAAAUGACUACAACUUCCUGAAAGCUCAC
rnacentral:lncRNA from 1 species